GAAUCAGGGUUCGAUUCCGGAGAGGGAGCCUGAAGCUGUGAAACAACGGGCUUGAUAGUGGCCUGGCAACAGGACGCUAGUUACGCUCUGACCGUAGCGACACCUUCAAAUUGCUGGAAGUCCCUAAAGCUCUUAGUACCGCGGCGCCUGGCAACAGAGCGUGCAGCAGGUGGUGUAGUGGCCACUGGGUGGUAACAAUCUAAGAGAUGACACAAUGGGUAACCAGCAGCCAAGUGGCCUCUGGCCAUGCAGUUCACAGACUAAAUGUUGGUGGGCGACCUCUGGGUUGCUUAAGAUAUAGUCGGCCGGCCGCAGAAAUGCGGUUCUCUAAGAGGAAUCUUCACUGCGAGUCAGAGAGCACGCAGCAGUGGAGAGGAGAGCUUAGAGACAGCCAGCACUGGACCAGUGCCUCGGCUGCGAUCAGCGGAGAAAUGGCUACCACAUCCAAGGAUGGCAGCAGGCGCGCAAAUUACCCAAUCCUGACACAGGGAGGUAGUGACAAUAAAUAUCAAUAGUGGACUUUUUACAGUACACUAAUUGAAAUGAGAACAAUUUAAAUCCCUUAUCGAGGAACAAUUGGAGGGCAAGUCUGGUGCCAGCAGCCGCGGUAAUUCCAGCUCCAAUAGCGUAUAUUAAAGUUGUUGCAGUUAAAAAGCUCGUAGUUGGAUUUCGGGGAGGUCAGGCGUCGUAGGGCAAUAGUUCUGCGGUUGUCGGCUUCUCUUACCUGUCUGGCAUUGCCCUCGUUGGUGGUGCUAGGCUCGUUUACUGUGAAAAAAUUAGAGUGUUCAAAGCAGGCUUACGCUGUGAAUACAUUAGCAUGGAAUAAUAGAAUAGGACUUUGGCCCUAUUUUGUUGGUUUCUAGGACCGAAGUAAUGAUUAAUAGGGACAGUUGGGGGCAUUCGUAUUUUACAGUCAGAGGUGAAAUUCUUAGAUUUGUGAAAGACGAACUACUGCGAAAGCAUUUGCCAAGGAUGUUUUCAUUAAUCAAGAACGAAAGUUAGGGGAUCGAAGACGAUCAGAUACCGUCGUAGUCUUAACCAUAAACGAUGCCAACUAGGGAUGGGCAGAUGUUAACUUUAUGACUCUGUCCGCACCUCCAGAGAAAUCGCAAGUUUU
rnacentral:rRNA from 1 species